UACGGAGGAUGCGAGCGUUAUCCGGAUUUAUUGGGUUUAAAGGGUGCGUAGGCCGGGUUUUAAGCGUGCCGUGAAAUGUCGGGGCUCAACCCCGUUGUGCCGUUGAAACUGGCGUUCUUGAGUGGGCGAGAAGUAUGCGGAAUGCGUGGUGUAGCGGUGAAAUGCAUAGAUAUCACGAAGAACUCCGAUUGCGAAGGCAGCGUACCGGCUCCAUACUGACGCUGAGGCACGAAAGCGUGGGGAUCGAACAGG
rnacentral:rRNA from 1 species